GUGUCCGAGUGGUUAAGGAGAUUGAUUCGAAAUCAAUUGGGCUUUGCCCGCGCAGGUUCGAGUCCUGUCGAU
rnacentral:ncRNA from 16 species